rnacentral:rRNA from 1 species
UACGAAGGGGGCUAGCGUUGUUCGGAAUCACUGGGCGUAAAGCGCACGUAGGCGGAUGUGUCAGUCAGGGGUGAAAUCCCGGGGCUCAACCUCGGAACUGCCUUUGAUACAGCACGUCUCGAGUCCGGAAGAGGUGGGUGGAAUUCCUAGUGUAGAGGUGAAAUUCGUAGAUAUUAGGAAGAACACCGGUGGCGAAGGCGGCCCACUGGAUCGGUACUGACGCUGAGGUGCGAAAGCGUGGGGAGCAAACAGG